CCCACAACUGCGGUUCCAACAACUGGGCCUCCUACAACUCCAAGCUUGACAUCAUUGGCACAUCUACAGAUGAGUUUACAGUCCUUUGGAGAGGUCAGCAAUGACACUAUCAUUGAGCUCAUAAAACAGUUCUUUAAUAAACAGCUGAAUGGAACAGCCCACACAGUCACUGUGACACUCAUUCAAAGGGUUGGAGUUGGCCCAUAGAAGAGUCAUGUGGACAGAAAUAGUC